rnacentral:misc_RNA from 1 species
GGAUGAAGAACGCAGCGAAAUGCGAUAAGUAAUGUGAAUUGCAGAAUUCAGUGAAUCAUCGAAUCUUUGAACGCACAUUGCGCCCAUUAGUAUUCUAAUGGGCAUGCCUGUUCGAGCGUCAUUUCAACCCUCAAGCUCUAGUUGCUUGGUGUUGGGAGCUUAUCCUGCCGGAAGGCGGGACAACUCCUUAAAAUUAUUGGCGGAGUCGCGGUGACCCCAAGCGCAGUAAUUCAUUUUCUCGCUUUAGGUGUUAACGCUGGCCUCUAGCCAUUAAACCACUCUAUUUUCUCAAAUGGUUGACCUCGGAUCAGGUAGGACUACCCGCUGAACUUAAGCAUAUCAAUAAGCGGAGGA